ACAUUGUGCUUGCACAGAUGACGACCGGCGCACGGGUGCGUAACGCGUAUGCAAUCUACCUUUUACAGNAGGAUAGCCNUUAGAAAUUUGGAUUAAUACNUCAUAGUAUAUAAGNAUGGCAUCAUUUUUAUAUUAAAGAUUUAUCGGUAAAAGAUGAGCAUGCGUUCUAUUAGUUAGUUGGUAAGGUAACGGCUUACCAAGACNGCGAUAGAUAGGGGUCCUGAGAGGGAGAUCCCCCACACUGGUACUGAGACACGGACCAGACUCCUACGGGAGGCAGCAGUGAGGAAUAUUGGACAAUGGGCGAGAGCCUGAUCCAGCCAUGCCGCGUGCAGGAAGACUGCCCUAUGGGUUGUAAACUGCUUUUAUACAGGAAGAAACACUCCCUCGUGAGGGAGCUUGACGGUACUGUAAGAAUAAGGAUCGGCUAACUCCGUGCCAGCAGCCGCGGUAAUACGGAGGAUCCAAGCGUUAUCCGGAAUCAUUGGGUUUAAAGGGGUCCGUAGGUGGACNAUUAAAUC
rnacentral:rRNA from 1 species